CAAUCGGCCCUUUUUAGGGCCUACUAAUGUUUACUAAAGAUUUAUUU
rfam:Aedes aegypti strain Liverpool supercont1.61 genomic scaffold, whole genome shotgun sequence.